rnacentral:rRNA from 1 species
CCUACGGGUGGCAGCAGUGGGGGAUAUUGCACAAUGGGGGCAACUCUGAUGCAGCGACGCCGCGUGAGUGAAGAAGUAUUUCGGUAUGUAAAGCUCUAUCAGCAGGGAAGAAAAUGACAGUAUCUGCCCUAGAUGCCCCGGCUAACUACGUGCCCGCAGCCGCGGGAAUACGUAGGGGGCAAGCGUUAUCCGGAUUUACUGGGUGUAUAGGGAGCGUAGACGGGUAUGUAAGUCUGAAGUGAAAGCCCGGGGCUCAACCCCGGGACUGCAUUGGAAACUGUGUAACUGGAGUACAGGAGGGGCAGUCGGAAUUCCUGGUGUAGCGGUGAAAUGCGUAGAUAUCAGGAGGAACACCAGCGGCGAAGGCGGACUGCUGGACUGAAACUGACGUUGAGGCUCGAAAGCGUGGGGAGCAAACAGGAUUAGAUACCCCUGUAGUC